rnacentral:rRNA from 1 species
CCUACGGGAGGCAGCAGUGAGGAAUAUUGGUCAAUGGACGAGAGUCUGAACCAGCCAAGUAGCGUGAAGGAUGACUGCCCUAUGGGUUGUAAACUUCUUUUAUAUGGGAAUAAAAUGUUCCACGUGUGGGAUUUUGUAUGUACCAUAUGAAUAAGGAUCGGCUAACUCCGUGCCAGCAGCCGCGGUAAUACGGAGGAUCCGAGCGUUAUCUGGAUUGAUUGGGUUUAAAGGGAGCGUAGGUGGAUUGUUAAGUCAGUUGUGAAAGUUUGCGGCUCAACCGUAAAAUUGCAGUUGAAACUGGCAGUCUUGAGUACAGUAGAGGUGGGCGGAAUUCGUGGUGUAGCGGUGAAAUGCUUAGAUAUCACGAAGAACUCCGAUUGCGAAGGCAGCUCACUGGACUGCAACUGACACUGAGGCUCGAAAGUGUGGGUAUCAAACAGGAUUAGAUACCCUGGUAGUC